CCUACGGGAGGCAGCAGUGGGGAAUCUUGCGCAAUGGGCGAAAGCCUGACGCAGCGACGCCGCGUGGGGGAUGAAGCUUCUCGGAGUGUAAACCCCUUUCGACUGGGACGAAUGCCCGCAAGGGAGUGACGGUACCAGUAGAAGAAGCCCCGGCUAACUACGUGCCAGCAGCCGCGGUAAGACGUAGGGGGCCAGCGUUGUUCGGAAUUACUGGGUGUAAAGGGUUCGUAGGCGGUGCGGCAAGUUGGGAGUGAAAUCUCUGGGCUUAACCCAGAGGCUGCUUCCAAAACUGCCGUGCUUGAGUGUGGGAGAGGCGCGUGGAAUUGCAGGUGUAGCGGUGAAAUGCGUAGAUAUCUGCAGGAACACCCGUGGCGAAAGCGGCGCGCUGGACCACUACUGACGCUGAGGAACGAAAGCUAGGGGAGCAAACAGGAUUAGAUACCCUGGUAGUCCUAGCCCUAAACGAUCAGGACUUGGGGUGCCACCCGUUCGGGUGUCGUCCCGGAGCUAACGCGUUAAGUCCUGCACCUGGGGAGUACGGUCGCAAGACUGAAACUCAAAGGAAUUGACGG
rnacentral:rRNA from 1 species